GACGAACGCUGGCGGCGUGCUUAACACAUGCAAGUCGAACGGAAAGGCCCUGCUUUUGUGGGGUGCUCGAGUGGCGAACGGGUGAGUAACACGUGAGUAACCUGCCCUUGACUUUGGGAUAACUUCAGGAAACUGUGGCUAAUACCGGAUAGGAGCUCCUGCUGCAUGGUGGGUGUUGGAAAGUUUCGGCGGUUGGGGAUGGACUCGCGGCUUAUCAGCUUGUUGGUGUGGUAGUGGCUUACCAAGGCUUUGACGGGUAGCCGUACUGAGAGGGUGACAGGCCACAUAGGGACAGAGAUACGGCCAAGACUCAAACGGGAGGCAGCAGUGGGGAAUAGUGCAAAAUGGGCGGAAGCCUGAUGCAGGAACGCCGCGUGCGGGAUGACGGCCUUAGGGUUGUAAACCGCUUUCGCCUGUGAAGAAGAGUGAGUGACGGUAAUGUGUAAAGAAGCACCGGCUAACUACGUG
rnacentral:rRNA from 1 species